rnacentral:tRNA from 1 species
UUAGUUCAGUCGGUAGAACGCCGGACUGUUAAUCCGUAUGUCGCUGGUUCAAGUCCAGCA